ACCAGGGAGUGAUAAAAGGCCAGCAACUACCUAGCGACAGAAGGAGGAAACACACCAGACCAGAACUAAAGCGGAUAGCGGUUAGAAACGCCCAGUAAGGGUGCCAGAAACCACUUUCAGGAAGAGGGAAGACAGCACUUGAAAGGAAAGAGGGUAAAGAAGAGGAAGGGAGGUUACAAUUGAGAGCACUGCAGAAGGAAGCGAUGCAGAUGUUGCCGCCCGGCUCUGGCAGUCCGAAGGAGCAACCCCACGCAUAGGGAUGGGGUUUCACCACGUUGGCCAGGCUCGUCUCAAACUCCCGACCUCAAGUGAUACGCUCGCCUUGGCCUCCCGUGGUGUUGGGAUUAUAGGCGUAAGCCACUGCACCCGGCCUGAAAUACUACCUUUAUUAUACAGCUAGUUCUAACACAUCUUGGUCUUUUUCUAGGUUCUUUGUUUUAUUACUUAUUUAGCUAUCUCUGCACCAAUACCACAUUGCUUCACAUAUUACGAAAAAACAGAUUCUACUUGGUUCUAGCUGAAGUAUUAUCAACUCCAAAUAACGCUUUGAGGACCUCCAAAGGUGCUUUCCUUUGCCUGCAAGAGGUGUCAAGAUGAGUUUUGCCUGACUUCUUUGAUGUCCUGAACUUUCUGUAGUCCUUUUUUUUCUUCAAUUUGUUCAUUAUAAAUUUAGCUUAGCAU
rnacentral:lncRNA from 1 species